CAAUGACUCAACAGCUCUUCUGUUGUGCCUGCACUCCGAGCUACCAACGAGUUGGCACCACAGUCUGUCUGCCACAGCACAUGACACCACCAGAAGGCAGCUCCAAACUCCUCCCAACCUCCGCAGCCCUUGAAAACCUUCAGAAGCAAGGAAUACACUCUUUUAUUCUAAGAAGCCACCAAGGUAGGAAGAAUAAAGAACACCACACACUUUUUCCUGUUUAUAGAGCUCCAGCACAACAUAGAUACAUGGAGCCCGGCUGCUUCAGGGAAAGACAGCGGAGAUCGGGGAUGGGAGCUGGAGCAGAUGGAGGAGAGCUUGAGCAGACUGCUCUAAGGGAUGCAAAAAGAGCUCUGGAAAGACGACAGAAAGUGGAGUACAACAAUCAGGGGUUUCAGAAGAGCAGCACUGGGCUGUUGAAAAAUGGCAGGUAAGGAAUUGGCGCACUGCAACAAAGAUAAGGAAGGGACACCAAUA